CCUACGGGAGGCAGCAGUAGGGAAUAUUGGGCAAUGGAGGCAACUCUGACCCAGCCAUGCCGCGUGCAGGAUGAAGGCGUUAUGCGUUGUAAACUGCUUUUAUAUAGGAAGAAAGAGUUCUUGCGAGAACAGUUGACGGUACUAUAUGAAUAAGCACCGGCUAACUCCGUGCCAGCAGCCGCGGUAAUACGGAGGGUGCAAGCGUUGUCCGGAUUUAUUGGGUUUAAAGGGUGCGUAGGCGGUUUAUUAAGUCAGUGGUGAAAGACGGUCGCUCAACGAUUGCAGUGCCAUUGAUACUGGUAGACUUGAGUGAGAUUGAGGUAGCUGGAAUGGAUAGUGUAGCGGUGAAAUGCAUAGAUAUUAUCCAGAACACCAAUUGCGUAGGCAAGUUACUAAGUCUCAACUGACGCUGAGGCACGAAAGUGUGGGGUAUCAAACAGGAUUAGAUACCCUGGUAGUCCACACUGUAAACGAUGAUAACUAACUGUUGGCUUUCGGGUCAGUGGUACAGAGAAAUCGUUAAGUUAUCCACCUGGGGAGUACGCCGGCAACGGUGAAACCGUUAAUGAAUUGACGG
rnacentral:rRNA from 1 species